UGAUACACCAACAAGAAAUCGUAGCGCUAUAGCGUACCAUUUUUGCGCUAAUAGGAAAACCACGCAAACCAGAAGAGCACAAGAUCAGAGUUUUAGUUGUA